GGUGCCACUUGCCUUUUGGGUGGUGGUCUCUAAUGCUGGCGGGGUAACCCUGCUCCGCCCCUGGGUCAAUUUAAGAUUUGGCUCU
rnacentral:ribozyme from 1 species